AAAAUCAAAGAACAAUAAAAAUAACCUCUCUCCAAUACGUUAAUUGUCGGAUCAAAAAUGCUACGACAAAGUUCCUAUAAAGUUUUUGACUUGAGUACGGUUUUUGGUAGAGAUGCGGUUUACUGCACAAACACAUAAAAAAAAAAAAAUAAUAAAUAAAAACAACCUAGUCAGACCAAUAUUAUAUUCCUCCCUUCCAAGUCAGCCAAAUGGACUUCCGU